GACGAACGCUGGCGGCGUGCUUAACACAUGCAAGUCGAACGGAAAGGCCCUGCUUUUGUGGGGUGCUCGAGUGGCGAACGGGUGAGUAACACGUGAGUAACCUGCCCUUGACUUUGGGAUAACUUCAGGAAACUGGGGCUAAUACCGGAUAGGAGCUCCUGCUGCAUGGUGGGGGUUGGAAAGUUUCGGCGGUUGGGGAUGGACUCGCGGCUUAUCAGCUUGUUGGUGGGGUAGUGGCUUACCAAGGCUUUGACGGGUAGCCGGCCUGAGAGGGUGACCGGCCACAUUGGGGCUGAGAUACGGCCCAGACUCCUACGGGAGGCAGCAGUGGGGAAUAUUGCACAAGGGGCGGAAGCCUGAUGCAGCAACGCCGCGUGCGGGAUGACGGCCUUCGGGUUGUAAACCGCUUUCGCCUGUGACGAAGCGUGAGUGACGGUAAUGGGUAAAGAAACACCGGCUAACUACGU
rnacentral:rRNA from 1 species